rnacentral:rRNA from 1 species
UACGGAGGGGGCUAGCGUUGUUCGGAAUUACUGGGCGUAAAGCGCACGUAGGCGGCUUUGUAAGUUAGAGGUGAAAGCCCAGGGCUUAACCCUGGAAUUGCCUUUAAGACUGCAUCGCUAGAAUCGUGGAGAGGUGAGUGGAAUUCCGAGUGUAGAGGUGAAAUUCGUAGAUAUUCGGAAGAACACCAGUGGCGAAGGCGACUCACUGGACACGUAUUGACGCUGAGGUGCGAAAGCGUGGGGAGCAAACA